GUACACUCCUACGGGAGGCAGCAGUGGGGAAUAUUGGACAAUGGGCGCAAGCCUGAUCCAGCCAUGCCGCGUGAGUGAUGAAGGCCCUAGGGUUGUAAAGCUCUUUCACCGGUGAAGAUAAUGACGGUAACCGGAGAAGAAGCCCCGGCUAACUUCGUGCCAGCAGCCGCGGUAAUACGAAGGGGGCUAGCGUUGUUCGGAUUUACUGGGCGUAAAGCGCACGUAGGCGGACUAUUAAGUCAGGGGUGAAAUCCCGGGGCUCAACCCCGGAACUGCCUUUGAUACUGGUAGUCUUGAGUUCGAGAGAGGUGAGUGGAAUUCCGAGUGUAGAGGUGAAAUUCGUAGAUAUUCGGAGGAACACCAGUGGCGAAGGCGGCUCACUGGCUCGAUACUGACGCUGAGGUGCGAAAGCGUGGGGAGCAAACAGGAUUAGAUACCCGGGUAGUCCCAUG
rnacentral:rRNA from 1 species